UACGUAGGGUGCGAGCGUUAAUCGGAAUUACUGGGCGUAAAGUGUGCGCAGGCGGCCGCGCAAGUCGAGUGUGAAAGCCCCGAGCUUAACUUGGGAAUUGCGCUCGAAACUACGUGGCUGGAGUGUGGCAGAGGAAGGUGGAAUUCCAGGUGUAGCGGUGAAAUGCGCAGAUAUCAGGAGGAACACCUAUGGCGAAGGCAGCUCUCUGGUACGUGACUGACGCUGAGACGCGAAAGCGUGGGGAGCGAACAGG
rnacentral:rRNA from 1 species